UGCAUGAGCCCAAAAAUCUAUAGUUGUUGAUAGAGUGAAGGAGGUGGUGUGUUGAGAGUACUGAGAGAGUGAAGCAGGUGGUGUGUUGAUGAUAGUGCUGAGAGAGUGAAGCAGGUGGUGUGUUGAUGAUAGUGCUGAGAGAGUGAAGCAGGUGGUGUGUUGAUGAUAGUACUGAGAGCGAGUGAAGCAGGUGGUGUGUUGAUGAGAGUACUGAGAGAGAGUGAAGCAGGCGGUGUGUUGAUGAGAGUACUGAGAGAGUGAAGCAGGUGGUGUGUUGAUGAUAGCACUGAGAGAGUGAAGCAGGUGGUGUGUUGAUGAUAGCACUGAGAGAGUGAAGCAGGUGGUGUGUUGAUGAUAGUGCUGAGAGAGUGAAGCAGGUGGUGUGUUGAUGAUAGUGCUGAGAGAGUGAAGCAGGUGGUGUGUUGAUGAGAGUAUUGAGAGUGUGAAGCAGGUGAUGUGUUGAUGAGAGUACUGAGAGAGUGAAGCAGGUGGUGUGAUGAUAGUGCUGAGAGAGUGAAGCAGGUGAUGUGUUGAUGAGAGUACUGAGAGAGUGAAGCAGGUGGUGUGUUGAUGAGAGUACUGAGAGAGUGAAGCAGGUGGUGUGUUGAGAGUACUGAGAGAGAGUGAAGCAGGUGGUGUGUUGAUGAUAGUGCUGAGAGAGUGAAGCAGGUGAUGUGUUGAUGAGAGUACUGAGAGAGUGAAGCAGGUGAUGUGUUGAUGAUAGUACUGAGAGAGUGAAGCAGGUGGUGUGUUGAGAGUACUGAGAGAGUGAAGCAGGUGGUGUGUUGAUAGUGCUGAGAGAGUGAAGCAGGUGAUGUGUUGAUGAGAGUACUGAGAGAGUGAAGCAGGUGGUGUGUUGAUGAUAGUGCUGAGAGAGUGAAGCAGGUGGUGUGAUGAUAGUACUGAGAGAGUGAAGCAGGAGGUGUGAUGAUAGUACUGAGAGAGUGAAGCAGGUGGUGUGAUGAUAGUACUGAGAGAGUGAAGCAGGUGAUGUGUUGAUGAGAGUACUGAGAGAGUGAAGCAGGUGGUGUGUUGAUGAUAGUACUGAGAGAGUGAAGCAGGUGAUGUGUUGAUGAUAGUACUGAGAGAGUGAAGCAGGUGAUGUGUUGAUGAUACUGAGAGAGUGAAGCAGGUGGUGUGUUGAUGAGAGUACUGAGAGAGUGAAGCAGGUGAUGUGUUGAUGAUAGUACUGAGAGAGUGAAGCAGGUGGUGUGUUGAUGAGAGUACUGAGAGAGUGAAGCAGGUGGUGUGUUGAUGAUAGUACUGAGAGAGUGAAGCAGGUGGUGUGUUGAUGAGAGUACUGAGAGAGAGUGAAGCAGGUGUGUGGUUGCGAAGACCCACAUAUAAAAA